rnacentral:lncRNA from 1 species
CACAACGUAGCCUUGGGAGACUUUGUUUCAAAUUGCUGGGUUGUUUCAAACUUGGAUAUGAACCAUGUGCACAGAUAUGAGUUGUAGUAGGUAAAUUUAACAAGUGGGAGUGCAGGGUGGUUAUUAAGUAGAGCGAGUUUCAUGGGUUCUUUUGCCUUGUGCCAAUGUAAAAUGCAAUACGUGUGUAAAUACUAAAUAGAUAUGUCGUU